GUGGGUAUAGCUCAGUUGGUUAGAGCGCCAGAUUGUGGCUCUGGAGGUCGUGGGUUCGAAUCCCAUUAUCCACCCCA
rnacentral:tRNA from 1 species